CCCGUUGUGGUGCAGUGAAAACGAAUCCGACUAGGAACCAUGAGAUUGCGGAUUCGAUCCCUGGCCUUGCUCAUUGGGUUAAGGAUCUGGCGUUGCUGUGGCUGUGGCAUAGGCCGGCAGUAACAGCUCUGAUUAGACCCCUAGCCUGAGAACUUCCACAUGUCAUGGGUGCGGCCCUAAAAGGAUAAAAAUAAAAUAAAAUAAAAUAAAAUAAAAUAAAAUAAAAUAAAAUAAAAUACACUAACAAAACCUCGAUAAGCUCAUCUUGUCAUGGAUUGGAGACAUAAUUGGGUCAAGUUCAUAAAUGAGUCAAGUUCAUGUGUUCACCAAGUAGGCAUAAACUAUAUCCAUGAUGAGCUGGUGUUGUGCAUGGGAUUAAGGGGCUAAGGUGCCCUCCCCAGAGUAAUGCCAAUUAAUCAUUUUCAUCCCUAUUAAAAUUGGGGACUGAACCUCUGUAAAGUCCAAACAUUUACCAACCAACUCAGUUGACUGCUGCCUUGACAGCUAAGCUGAUCUUUGCUUUUUGAUUUCUUAAUCUGAAAAAUAUGAGAAAUUGUUUAGCUCACUGGAGGAGCUAUUAGGAAUGUUUUUAUUGCUCCUAAGGUGUGGUGUCUUAGAAACCUCAAGGCCCAGUGGUACACGCAGUACAUAAGACAGGGCAGCAGGAACCCAGAUUUCUAGGCCUGUCUCUGCCAGCAUCCAGCUGUGUGACUUUGGACUCAUCACCUCACCCUUCUGGGCUUAACGCUGAUAGCAAGUGAGUGUUCCUUCCAUGUCUAAUACAUCAAAGAUGGAGAGAUGCUUGGAGCAUCAGAGUUUCAAUCUUCUGUCCGCAGAGAAGCUUCUUCCUCUCACUUAAGGCCAUUUUAACCUUUCUCUCACCAGAUUCUAGGCUGUUUGGCUGUUUCAUCCGGAUCUGUCAAGAAGGCACCAGGAAAGACCAUUCCCAGACUGGAAGCCAAGGGCAACCCUGGAAUUGUGAGACCCAAAGCCCAGGGCCCAUCACCUACAAGGAGAAUGAAGACCCAUGACUUGGCCUAUAAGGUCUUCAAUCAUCUGACCGACCACCUGAUGAAGAGUUUCAGCUAUACUUGGAAGGUCAGAUUGAGGCCAGAUCCUGAUGGACCUUGAAUGCCGGGUUGAGGAGCUU
rnacentral:lncRNA from 1 species